rnacentral:misc_RNA from 1 species
AUCUUUUUUUACCUUCAAAAAAUAUGUUUACAAACUUUUUUUAUAUCAUUUUUUGUUUAUUUGAAAAAAUAUGUUCUGUUAUGUCGAAGAGAAGUUGAGAGUGUGUGAUUGGACUUAAGCUUUUUUAUUUUUCACUAACAUUUGCGUUUAUAAAUUUCCUUUAUGUUUAUAUUUUAGAAUGUUAACAACUUUUGUGAAGAAAAAGUCCCUUGUACAAGCUUUUCUAUGUAUAUAGUACUCUUUAGCACAUAUUUCCGUUAAAAUGAAAUCAUGAAUCGCUCCCUCCCUCCCCCCCCCCCCCAUCCCGGGUGUUUGAUACCCGGUCAAUUUAAUGUUACAUACCUCUAAGCAUGAACGUUAUUCCUCCCUAUAUAAGACUCAAGGAAUGGUACCUCAAUAUGAUCUAAAAUUUCCCCCCUAGGAUACUUUGACUCGGUUCAUUUGACACCGUAACAUGAUGAAAGAUCUUGUUCCCCGACUAUAUGGGAGCUAGCAAUUUGUUAUAGCUUACACAUUUAAGGCUCUAAUUAAUUCUUAAUCAAUUAAUUCAUUCUAACUAUUAGCAUGGUUUACUAUUGUCCAAAGAUUUUUUUUUUGCAUUGACAAGACUUUUGUUUUUAUAUUUGCUUUCGAAAGAAUUGGAUAUAUACGUGUUCAUUAUUAAAAUAUUU